rnacentral:lncRNA from 1 species
AUGUUUAGGCUGGCACGAGUUCCGGGCGGGGCCCAGAGUUGUUCUGGCCAGAGGGUUUGGGCGGAUGAGCGAAUGUUGUGGACACCCUGUUCUGUGGAUGGGUGGGGGAAGCAACGGUCGCCCGUGGCCCUGAUCUCCGGGUCUGAGCGGGCUAGGUGGUGGUGUUCCUCAGGUGUCGGGGCGGAGAGGACCCUGGCCUGGUCCCCCGGUUACGGAGGAGCCGAGAUUCAGUGUCUCUGGCCCUGGGAAUCCGAGAUUUUAUACCUCAAAAGUGUUCCCAUCUUGUUGGCUUUUGCGGUUCGGCCUUCAGAUACGAGCUGUCUCCUGUGUCUGAUGCUGCAGCAGGUGUGUGUGCCUAUGGCUUGGAGCUAAUAGCCUGCUGAUAUUUUUAGCUUUCUCAGUUGUUCUCAUUUGCCAAAGUCCUGCUGGGGUGCUACAGAAAUGGCUGAGUUGGAGCAUGUAAUUGCAGGGGGAUGGGGAAAGUUAGCAUUUGGAGGCAGCAGGUGGGAAUGAGCUGGAUUGAUCAGCCUUCUAGUCUCCCACUCUCACUGCAUCCUUUCCGCUACUUUGUUUGCAGGUUGACUUUAAAUAUGUUUCUUUCUAAAGAGCUUGAAUGCCCUCACUCUCUGUAUGGAGUCGAGGCAACUGCCAGUAAAUUUUCAUAGUCCCAUAGUCCCACCAAAGAAUGGUGACUUACGAAUGCCAGAGUUGCAGAGUUGUUCUUUGGAUUCUGGUUUUUAAAGUGAGAACAUUUUGGUUCAGAGAGGUGAAUGAAUGGCUUACCCUAGGUCACAUGCCUGCCAGGGGUGCCACCAAGAAUAGAGUCCAGCUCUCUUGGUCCCUGCUGUCUUGCACUGACUGCAUUUUGCCUUGCUUGCCUCUUGUUUAUGGUUCUUAAGCUUGGCAUGUCCGUUAGCAGAGAGAGAGAUACUUAGGGUGACAAUAAUGGUUGAUAUUUAUUUAAUGUUUUCCAUAUGCUGAGUAUGGUGCUUUGUGUUUACAAUCCAGCCUCUGAGGAACCUUAAAAAUGAGGGACCUGAGGCUCAAAGAGGCCAAACGGCUUGUCCAAGGUCACACUAGUCUUAAUCUUAGUCCUGGCUUGCUAGAGGGCCAGACCAUUGGGUGGUGGUGGUGGUGUUAAUUAAGUCAACACUAUUUUUUUUUAAUUUCCUUAAAUAAUCUCCACACCCAAUGUGGGGCUCGAACACACCACCCCAGGAUCAAGAAUUGCAUGCUCUACCGACUGAGCUGACCAGGAGCCCCACUGGGUGUUCUUUUUCAUUUAUUUCCUCCUGUGAGCUUUUUGGACCUAUUUGUCGUCCUUGACCUUGGGAAUCAAUAUCUUACAUUAAUCCAUUAAUGUAUAGGACAUUAAUCCAUUAAUUCUCAUGUUAAUUUAUGUAAUUGAUAUGUUAAUUACAUUAAUAGGACCUCAGAAAAUUAGGAACAGCCAAACUCACCUACUGUAUUUGUACACAACUCGAUUAGAGUAAAAAUAAAAUUUACGUGACUUUAAACAUUGCAGAUUUCAAUAUGGCUAAUCCCUGAGGUUAUCUGAGAUUCCUGAAAGUGAAAAUUCUAGCAAUAGGUUGUAAUCCGUUAGGAACAUACCUCUCCAGUGCAAGUCAGAAUCUGCUGCUACUUAAAGACAACCUGGCCAUUUAUCUGUAAAGAAAACGAGCACCUUCAGUCACCGUCAUCACAUUUAAACAGAUUUAUGGUGUACGUUCCUAUCAUGAACUUAUCUGGCUUUGAAAGAAGUCAUGGGGAAAACUUGGUUAUCUUGUGCCAACCACCAGCCUGUUUUCUAGAUACUAUGACCUUGAAUAGAUGAGGCAUGAAUUUUCUAUAUUUAGAUGUUUUUGUAAGUAAAAGUUUUAGUGAAACAUUUUUCCCCGAAGUUUAUUUUAUUAUCCCCAUUCUAAAGGCCUGUGACAUUUUCUUGUGCUUUUCUUAAUUCUAAGUACAUGUGAAGACAAGCAUCUGCAUGAUUUUUGAAUGCACAUCUUUCCGCCUACAUCAGGAUAAGACUCUGGAGCCACACUGGGUGGGUUCAAAUCCCAGUCCCUGUGUGACCCUGGACACGUUACAUAAACUUUGUCUCCUUGUCUCUGAAAUGGAACAGUAACCUCUACCUCCUAGGGCUGCGUGAGUUUAUGCAGCUGAUGCGCCCUCGUGCAGCCCAGCACAGUGAAGUGAAGCUAUGAUUAUGCUCUAAGUUGCCAAAUUUCAUAAAAAACCGGGGCCCUAGAGCCCAUUUAGUUGACACCCCCUUUCUUCAUUUACAGAUGGGACCAAGGCCCCAAGAGGGAAGUCACUUACCAGAGUGUGUAGGUUCUUCAUCCAGAGCUCAAGUCUUCUGACUCUUAGGGUAUGUACCAUAUUCUAAAAAAUAGCGACAUAGAAGGUCUUGGAGCAAAUGCUUUGCUCCAGCUGCGUCCCUGACCUCCACUCCCUGCUUUACCUUCCCCUAGGUCUCCCUCACAGUUGAGAUGAAAUUCUAGAUAGGAAUUGCUUUCAGAGGACAAUUUUUUCCCCUAUCAUUUACUCCCCUCCAGAUAUUUUUUAAGAACCAAUUUUUGCUUCAUUAAUACUCAGAGGGGGC